rnacentral:rRNA from 1 species
UACGUAGGUGGCAAGCGUUGUCCGGAUUUACUGGGCGUAAAGAGCGCGCAGGCGGUCGUUCAAGUCGCGUGUGAAAGCCCCCGGCUCAACUGGGGAGGGUCACGCGAUACUGAUCGACUCGAAGGCAGGAGAGGGUAGUGGAAUUCCCGGUGUAGUGGUGAAAUGCGUAGAGAUGCGGAGGAACACCAGUGGCGAAAGCGACUUUCUGGUCCUUAACUGACGCUGAGGCGCGAAAGCAUGGGGAGCGAACGGG